UUUUUAGUAUGUGGAUUCUGAGAGUAUUAAUCAAUUUUUUAUAAUGUUUGGUUUCCUUAUGUUUUCUAUUUCAGAGUACCCGAGUGGCCUUGGACCAUCUGGAGUCUGUGCCUGAGAAACUGAGCCUACUAGAAGAUUUCAAAGACUUCAGAGAUUCCUGCAGUUCAUCUGAGAGAACUGAUGGAAGAUAUUCUAAAUACAGCGUUCGCAGAAAUUCUCUUCAGUAUCACCAAGAUGACACCAACUACAGAACCAAAAGUUUCAAAGUAAUGUUCUUUAUAUACUUCUUUAGUCUUUAAGUAGUAUCCAUGUUUAAGGCUACAACCUCUUAAGCAGCCUCUGCAGUGUUUGUGUAAGGGCACUUGUGAAAGAAAAUAUUUUCCUUGAUAUAUUAAAUAGACUUUCAAUUCUGUGGAAAUAGAGAAUAAAAAUCCAGAGUUUGUGCCUAUCA
rnacentral:sRNA from 1 species